UCUUUGCUGGUAUAUCGGUAGAACAUCACCCUGUCAUUCUGACAUUACGGUGGAGAGCAGGGUUCGACUCCCUGGCAAAGAG
rfam:Tulasnella calospora MTT 4182 unplaced genomic scaffold scaffold_11, whole genome shotgun sequence.